rnacentral:misc_RNA from 1 species
GCAAACUUGGUCAUUUAGAGGAAGUAAAAGUCGUAACAAGGUCUCCGUUGGUGAACCAGCGGAGGGAUCAUUACCGAGUUUACAGCUCCCAAACCCCUGUGAACAUACCAUCUCAGUUGCUUCGGCGGGACCGCCCCGGCGCCCUCGGGCCCCGGAUCCAGGCGCCCGCCGGAGGCCCCAAACUCUUGUUUUAUUCUGUGGAUCUUCUGAGUGAUACAAGCAAAUAAAUCAAAACUUUCAACAACGGAUCUCUUGGUUCUGGCAUCGAUGAAGAACGCAGC